UCAUGCACGAAAGCGUGGGGAGCAAACAGGAUUAGAUACCCUNGUAGUCCACGCCNUAAACGAUGUCUACUAGUUGUCGGGUCUUAAUUGACUUGGUAACGCAGCUAACGCGUGAAGUAGACCGCCUGGGGAGUACGGUCGCAAGAUUAAAACUCAAAGGAAUUGACGGGGACCCGCACAAGCGGUGGAUGAUGUGGAUUAAUUCGAUGCAACGCGAAAAACCUUACCUACCCUUGACAUGGCUGGAAUCCUUGAGAGAUCAGGGAGUGCUCGAAAGAGAACCAGUACACAGGUGCUGCAUGGCUGUCGUCAGCUCGUGUCGUGAGAUGUUGGGUUAAGUCCCGCAACGAGCGCAACCCUUGUCAUUAGUUGCUACGAAAGGGCACUCUAAUGAGACUGCCGGUGACAAACCGGAGGAAGGUGGGGAUGACGUCAAGUCCUCAUGGCCCUUAUGGGUAGGGCUUCACACGUCAUACAAUGGUACAUACAGAGCGCCGCCAACCCGCGAGGGGGAGCUAAUCGCAGAAAGUGUAUCGUAGUCCGGAUUGUAGUCUGCAACUCGACUGCAUGAAGUUGGAAUCGCUAGUAAUCGCGGAUCAGCAUGUCGCGGUGAAUACGUUCCCGGGUCUUGUACACACCGCCCGUCACACCAUGGGAGCGGGUUUUACCAGAAGUAGGUAGCUUAACCGUAAGGAGGGCGCUUACCACGGUAGGAUUCGUGACUGGGGUGAAGUCGUAACAAGGUAACC
rnacentral:rRNA from 1 species